rnacentral:lncRNA from 1 species
UUACUUGGAUAUUUAUUUGGCUAUCUUAGAUAGCUGGAAUAAUGCGACAAUUAAGGGGUAAAUUUAUCGGCAAAGAAAAAGAAAGCUAUAAACAACUGAUUGCAGUUAAAAGGACAAUUGAUACUAACAAGUUGAUGUUGAAAACGAAUAGAAUGCUUCUGAUAAAUUAGAUUGUUGACUUCAAAUAAUCUCAUGGCGUUUACUUCAUCAAGAAUUGCGGCACUACAUUUUGAAUCUGAAAUAAUCAAUAAAAAUAAAUAAAUGUGUUAAGGAUAAGCACGUGUGUCAAGGAUAAGGAUAAGCACGUGUGUUAAGGAUAAGCACAUAUUAUUCACAUUAGGAUAAGCACAAGCAAUUAUAGCUGUCAAAGUAUAUCAGGAAUUGUAUCAUAAUUGUAUUUAAAAUAGGAUUUCUAUUAUAGGCAAUUAUAGACUAGACAAUUAUAGGCAAUUAGUAUACAGAUCCUUGUACUCUUAUA